GGCUUACACUUGAUCUCUGAACUUCUGGUAAGUUCAUAUGUGGAAUGGUCUAUUAUUGGCUGAUGCU